UACGUAGGGGGCUAGCGUUGUCCGGAAUCAUUGGGCGUAAAGCGCGCGUAGGCGGCCCGGUAAGUCCGCUGUGAAAGUCAAAGGCUCAACCUUUGAAUGUCAGCGGAUACUGCCGGGCUAGAGUCCGGAAGAGGUGAGUGGAACUCCUGGUGUAGCGGUGGAAUGCGCAGAUAUCAGGAAGAACACCAACGGCGAAGGCAGCUCGCUGGGACGGAACUGACGCUAAGGCGCGAAAGCGUGGGGAGCGAACAGG
rnacentral:rRNA from 1 species